rnacentral:antisense_RNA from 1 species
UUAUCUUUUUCAUUCAUUGUUAUAUCUUCAGUGCCUAGAAGAGUGCUGGAUACAUUGUAAGUGCUCAAUAACUAUUUCUUGAAGAUUUAAUGUUUAUUUAAAUAAAGGGAUGAAGUCAUUCAACUUCCAAGAGGAACUAGGACCCCAACUACUAUGCGUUGCUCUCAGAGGGUGUGUAAGGCCACCCUUGCUGAUGAGGCUGCAGGUGUAACGAGCUGAGCUGCUGCCUUCAGAAGAAGCCAGAGAAAAGAACCCCAACACAUGAGACUAUCCAGGCUACAGCAACUCCAGCAGUCUCCUUACCUGGCAGAAAGGAGCACACUCUGCUACAAUGACAUGGAAUUUCCUCUUUCGGGCAGCCUCUUUGAGGAAGGCCUCUACUGUUCGGGAGAAGCCAAUGGUCAUGAUCACCUCAUUGGAGUGAAUGUGCUCCAGAGCCUGGGCUGCAAUGUUCUCCAUUGUCCCUUCUGUAAGAACCGUUUUGC